rnacentral:rRNA from 1 species
AUUGAACGCUGGCGGCAGGCCUAACACAUGCAAGUCGAGCGGAUGAGGGGUGCUUGCACCCUGAUUCAGCGGCGGACGGGUGAGUAAUGCCUAGGAAUCUGCCUGGUAUUGGGGGACAACGUUUCGAAAGGAACGCUAAUACCGCAUACGUCCUACGGGAGAAAGCAGGGGACCUUCGGGCCUUGCGCUACCAGAUGAGCCUAGGUCGGAUUAGCUAGUUGGUGGGGUAAAGGCUCACCAAGGCGACGAUCCGUAACUGGUCUGAGAGGACGACCAGUCACACUGGGACUGAGACACGGCCCAGACUCCUACGGGAGGCAGCAGUGGGGAAUAUUGGACAAUGGGGCAACCCCGAUCCAGCGAUGCCGCGUGAGUGAAGAAGGCCUUCGGGUCGUAAAGCUCUUUAGGUUGGGAAGAAGGGUAUUGGCUGAAUAAUCCAGUACUUUGACGGUACCGACAGAAUAAGCACCGGCAAACUCUGUGCCAGCAGCCGCCGUAACAC